rnacentral:lncRNA from 1 species
CCUUGUAAACUCAAUUGCUAACCACAUUUUCUAUUCUUGUUCAUUAUUGUUUGUGGAGAAAGCUACCCCCAGGCCCUACAUAAUCUGCCUUGUAAAAGAGCAAUCGCGAAACACAUUGUAGUAGCCAAUUUUGGCCCAGGAAAAUAAACACAAAUAAAAUAGCUCAAAUUAAAAGUCCAUUUACAAACAAAGUUACUAACUCAAUUACAGCUCAAAAAUUAAAACCCUAAAAGUCCAACUAGCCCACUAUCCUAAAAUUUUUCAGCAACCAACCCUAGGUACCAAGACCUUCAGCCGCCGCAUACCCCUCAGCCUUGGCCACCACGCCUCACGCAUGCCCUUCAGCCUUGGUCACAACGCUCCACGCGUCUGACACUCCUAUACCCUGCAAACACAAACAACAAGAAACAGCAGCAACAACAGAAGUCAAGUAGCAGAAGAAACAAGAGCAAAAAGACAAAAAAUAGAAAAUAAAAGUCUUGUAACUUGGCUUUAAAAGCCAGAACCUGGUCAUUGAAAUUUCUUCUUCUUUUUUUAGAAAAGCUUUUUACACACACAUCAGUAAAAAAACAAGAAAACAAAAUCAAGAAAGGUUGAUUUUAGUCUCUACUUGUUCGGUUUCUUUUUGUUCAAUUUAUAUUUUUUUUAUCUUUUUAUUUUCAUUACAAAUCUAUUUUAAAUAGAAAAAUCAAUAAAAAGAAAACAAAAAGAGGAGAACCUUACCCGAACGCCCCUUGGUCGGCCAUCGAAAUUCUUCUCUCCGUCGCUGAAGUCGAUUUCAAGAGAGAAAAAGGGGUCUUUCUUUCAUAUAUCAUUUUUUUGAGGGGGGUUUUGAGGAGGCUCGGUUUUCAAACUCUUUAAACGGAGGUAAAAAACCCUCCUUUUCACUUGCCUUCAACCACCGUCCAUGGUGGCCUUAACGGCGGUGGCGAUGAUGGGUAUGAAGCCCUAGCCAAAAAGAGAGAAAUGGGGGAGAAAAGGGGAAGGAGAGAAAGCAAAAAGCUUUCUAUUUUCUUAAAAAAAAAAAGGGCUGGAAACAAAAAAAUAAAAAAGGGGGUUUUAAGUUUUUUU